AUUGAACGCUGGCGGCGUGCCUAACACAUGCAAGUCGUGCGUGAAAGGGCUUCGGCCUGAGUAAAGCGGCGCACGGGUGAGUAACGCGUGGAUGAUCUGCCCAUGAGUUGGGAAUAACGGCUGGAAACGGUCGCUAAUACCGAAUACGCUCCGAUUUCGCAUUUCGGGGGAAAGGUGGCCUCCGCUUGCAAGCUACCGCUCAUGGAUGAGUCCGCGUCCCAUUAGCUAGUUGGCGGGGUAAUGGCCCACCAAGGCGACGAUGGGUAGCCGACCUGAGAGGGUGAUCGGCCACACUGGGACUGGAACACGGCCCAGACUCCUACGGGAGGCAGCAGUGGGGAAUAUUGCGCAAUGGGCGAAAGCCUGACGCAGCGACGCCGCGUGAGGGAUGAAGG
rnacentral:rRNA from 1 species